CGGGAUGUAGCCUAGUGGAAAGGCGCCUCAUUUGGGGUGAGGAGAUCCGUCGGUUCGAUUCCGGCCAUCCCGACGA
rnacentral:tRNA from 1 species